rnacentral:rRNA from 1 species
UACGUAGGGGGCAAGCGUUGUCCGGAUUUAUUGGGCGUAAAGAGCGUGUAGGCGGCCUGACAGGUCUGCUGUGAAAACUCGAGGCUCAACCUCGAGAUGUCGGCGGAAACCGUCUGGCUAGAGUCCGGAAGAGGAGAGUGGAAUUCCCGGUGUAGUGGUGAAAUGCGUAGAGAUCGGGAGGAACACCUGUGGCGAAGGCGGCCCCCUGGGCCGGCCCUGACACUGAGACGCGAAGGCGUGGGGAGCGAACAGG